AGCGCGUCGAUCGGCACAGACGGGGCGUGAGUUCUGUACCACCUGGCCCAGGUAACGGCCGUUUUCCACACCCCCACCCACCGGCCGACACAUUUCCAGUAGAUCCGCACCAGGCUUCUUCCUCCACACUACUCCAGAAAUAUCCAAUACUAUUUCGAGCUCCAGAUCCAUCGGUGCCAUGGCUUCUUUGUCAUCUUCCAGCCAGCACCCGGCCUCACAGGAGGUAUUGCCUCUAAUCCCUUGUCCGUACUGCGGCGACAAGAUCCUCAGGUACGUCUGCGGAGCCAGUUCAUUGAAGCCCGGACAUCGAUUCUACAAAUGCAUCCAGAAAGAUGCUGGGAGAUGCAAGUUCUAUUAGUGGCAGGAGGGGUACGCUAGGUUUCUCCCGGCUCAUCUUGGUGCCAACGGGGUCCAGAACCAGAUCUAGGAGGGGGCACCCCAAGUUGCAGCUCCGGUGGUGGACCAGCAUAUUGGAGCAAUUCUAGCCAUGGUCAGAGAUCUGUUGAAGCUCAAUCUUAUAGUCGCGAGAACCAACCUCACUGCCACGGCAUUGCUUCUCGCACUAUUCAUCGCCAUAUGUGCCAUGGUCAUUAUGUCUCGCUCCACCAGCGAUUAAUGUAAUAGGCAGUAGCAACUACCUUUCGCGUGUGUCAUUAGCAUGGGGUCUGUGUUGUGCUAGACCCCGUAGCCGUCUUCGUUUAUCUGUUCUAAGUAACUCUGUUGUACCAAGCCGUAUGUGUCUGUUGUAAUGCAACGAAAUGAUGCUUAAUUAAGUA